AUAUACCACGCGUCCACUGCGGUUCUGAGCGCGCCGUCCGCGCCUACCUGACCGCUGAUCGCGACCUGUGGUUAGCC
rnacentral:sRNA from 2 species